rnacentral:rRNA from 1 species
GAUGAACGCUGGCGGCGUGCCUAAUACAUGCAAGUCGAGCGAACAGAUAAGGAGCUUGCUCCUUUGACGUUAGCGGCGGACGGGUGAGUAACACGUGGGUAACCUACCUAUAAGACUGGAAUAACUCCGGGAAACCGGGGCUAAUGCCGGAUAACAUUUAGAACCGCAUGGUUCUAAAGUGAAAGAUGGUUUUGCUAUCACUUAUAGAUGGACCCGCGCCGUAUUAGCUAGUUGGUAAGGUAACGGCUUACCAAGGCAACGGUACGUAGCCGACCUGAGAGGGUGAUCGGCCACACUGGAACUGAGACACGGUCCAGACUCCUACGGGAGGCAGCAGUAGGGAAUCUUCCGCAAUGGGCGAAAGCCUGACGGAGCAACGCCGCGUGAGUGAUGAAGGUCUUCGGAUCGUAAAACUCUGUUAUUAGGGAAGAACAAAUGUGUAAGUAACUGUGCACGUCUUGACGGUACCUAAUCAGAAAGCCACGGCUAACUACGUG